AUAAACAAUCAGCUCACAUGUGUGUCCCAGAGCGUAUGACCAAUGACCUGGAGAACUCUCAGGCUGUGGGGUGGAGAGAAGGCCAUUCUGAGGUCAACUGAAACCUCACUUGAGGGGCAGUUCCGUAGAUGGGAAUGAGGAGAGAGUCAUGGCCACAGCCACCUGGCCAAGGAGAGAGGCCAUAACUGCCAGACAGAACCAAGGAUGGAGGGACUUCAGCAGCACGAACAAUCCACACUCAGCAUGGGUCACUCUCUGGGACACACAUUUCCCUCUGGCUGAAAGGCUGAGCUGCUCCAGGGCCAACUGUGAGGUCAGACAGCUGCCCAGGGAUGUCUCCAGCCACUCAAGGGAAGAAGAGACCACUCACCUGUAAUUUCAACAGCAACAAAAGACCUGAGGUUCCACCAUCAGAACUUCACGCCCUAAGGAAGAUGCAGCAUUUCCUGUAAAAUGCAAGUGCUCCCAGGCAGAGGUAGCUCCCGAAGCCAUGAUCAGUUAUGUAUACCUUAGUGGCAGCUGAUUAACAGACUCUUCCCCAGAGCCAGCUGACAGGAAGCACAUCGGGGUAAAAGGGAAGAUGAAAACUUGGGUGCCUGGAGGAAGGGAACAAAUGCGAGCAGGAGCAUGGUAAUAACAUAGAGCCAGAAUUGAUUUCGUGGCUUUCUUUCUCCUCUUCUGGGAUUUUGUGCCCUAUUGCCACAGAAACCCUGGGCCCCUUCCCCAGCUGUCAUGAAGGUGCCUGAGUGAUGGUCAGAGAGAUGACCGGAGGGGCCCACCCGGCCACCGCAGCAGCAGCAGCCAAGGCGGGACUAAGCCUCCACACCCCACAUCUCAGUCGUGGCCAGCCCGGGAUGCCUGCCUCUCCUGCCCUGUGGUGUUGCUGUCCUCAUAUGACCCUUCAGUCCCCCGACAGCUGGACAGGCUUUAGGGACCUGCUUGAGCAGAACAUGGUAGAAGUGAUGGACUGGGGCUUCUGAGGCUAAGCCAUAAGAAGCCUUGAGAAUUUCACCUGGCCCUCACUGUCUCUGGGAGCCCUGAGCCAUGAUAGAAGAAGUCCUUCCUAUAUUGAAUGUCCUUGAGACCUCCAGUACUGGAAAGGGCAUUUGUAGAUGCUCAGACCAACAGUCCAAACUGAGCCCAGUCUGCCAACUUGCCCUGCCAAGGUGUCAGAUGCAUAUGUGAAUGAGACCAUCCUAGACCUGCUGAUAGCCCAUCACCCGGCUGACUGCUACUGAGUAACCUCUGCCAACUUCACGCCGAACACAGAACUGCUGAUUUGAACUCUGCCUGAAUUUCUUGGCCCACAGAACAAUGAGAUAUAAUUAAAAGGCAAUGGUU
rnacentral:lncRNA from 10 species